rnacentral:tRNA from 1 species
GGGGCCAUCGUCUAGGGGUUAGGACACCGGGUUUUCAUCCCGACAACAGGAGUUCGAUUCUCCUUGGCCCUA